GCUUACGGCCACACCGCUGGUUCACCCCGAUCUCGUUUGAUCUCGGAAGCAAGAUAGGUUGGGCCUGGUUAGUACUUGGAUGGGAGACCGCCUGGGAAUACCAGGUGCUGUAAGCU
rnacentral:rRNA from 1 species